rnacentral:miRNA from 1 species
UUGUGGCUGGUCAUGAGGCUAA